CCCAAACUCACAUAAAGUCAAGGAAUACAGCAAGGAAGGGAGGAGGAGCAAGGAGGAGAUUCUGAGGCAGGACAUCAGUCCCACCCAAGAGGAUUCAUCAAAGUGAGGUUGAACGUCAGGAGGAUGGAGAAAUGGUCGGAGUCGAUGCUACUAAAUAAUCCAGUGGAUCUUUUACACGAUUCGUGUCUUCAUACACGAAGUCGUCUAGCAUGGACUUAUUCCGUUGCUCUUUUGUGAAGUGAGACAUCUUAGAAUCUCACCAUCGAACUCUGAUUUAUUGAUGUAAUAUUUAAUCUAAGCUCUAAGACCAUGUAAUGGUAUAUUUGGCUUCUAUUCUAUGAUAUGAUCGACUUGGCCUUCGGGCA